CAGCCGCCGCGGGAAUACGAAGGAUGCAAGCGUUAAUCGGAAUUACUGGGCGUAAAGCGUGCGUAGGCGGUUUGUUAAGUCUGUUGUGAAAUCCCCGGGCUCAACCUGGGAAUGGCAAUGGAUACUGGCAAGCUAGAGUGCGUCAGAGGAUGGUGGAAUUCCCGGUGUAGCGGUGAAAUGCGUAGAGAUCGGGAGGAACAUCAGUGGCGAAGGCGGCCAUCUGGGACAACACUGACGCUGAGGCACGAAAGCGUGGGGAGCAAACAGGAUUAGAUACCCCAGUAGUCCCUGUCUCUUAUAC
rnacentral:rRNA from 1 species